rnacentral:rRNA from 1 species
GGGGAAUUUUGGGCAAUGGCCGCAAGGCUGACCCAGCGACGCCGCGUGCGGGAGGACGCCUUUCGGGGUGUAAACCGCUGUCAGGGGGGACGAACCGCCGGGAGACGAACAGGUUUCCGGUCUGACGGUACCCUCAAAGGAAGCGCCGGCUAACUCCGUGCCAGCAGCCGCGGUAAAACGUAGGGGGCCAGCGUUGCUCGGAAUUACUGGGCGUAAAGGGUCUGUAGGCGGUGCGGUAAGUCCGGAGUGAAAUCUCCAGGCUCAACUUGGAGGCUGCUUCGGAAACUGCCGUGCUCGAGUGUGGGAGAGGCGCGUGGAAUUGCAGGUGUAGCGGUGAAAUGCGUAGAUAUCUGCAGGAACACCAGUGGCGAAAGCGGCGCGCUGGACCACAACUGACGCUGAGAGACGAAAGCUAGGGGAGCAA